rnacentral:rRNA from 1 species
UACGGAGGGGGCGAGCGUUGUCCGAAGUUACUGGGCGUAAAGCGCGCGUAGGUGGGUUGGUAAGUCCGCUGUGAAAGCCCGGAGCUUAACUCCGGAGGGUCGGUGGAUACUACCAGUCUUGAAGGUGCUAGGGGGAGAUGGAAUUACCGGUGUAGCGGUGAAAUGCGUAGAUAUCGGGAGGAACACCUGUGGCGAAAGCGGCGCACUGGACCACAUCUGACGCUGAGGCGCGAAAGCUAGGGGAGCAAACAGG